rnacentral:rRNA from 1 species
GCUGACGACAAUAGCAAGAUGGAACCACCUGAUCCCUUCCCGAACUCAGAAGUGAAACGUCUUGUGAG